GUGGGGAAUUUUGCACAAUGCCCGAAAGGGUGAUGCAGCAACGCCGCGUGAGGGAUGAAGGCCCUCGGGUCGUAAACCUCUUUCGAUCGGGAAAAACGGGCGGAUGAAGAAUCCGCUCUGAUGGUACCGGAUGAAGAAGCCCCGGCCAACUACGUGCCAGCAGCCGCGGUAAUACGUAGGGGGCAAGCGUUGUUCGGAAUUACUGGGCGUAAAGGGCGUGUAGGCGGCGCGGUAUGUUGGACGUGAAAUCCCCGAGCUCAACUCGGGGCGGUCGUUCAAAACUGCCGUGCUAGAGUGUGGGAGAGGGAAGUGGAAUUCCCGGUGUAGCGGUGAAAUGCGUAGAUAUCGGGAAGAACACCUGUGGCGAAGGCGGCUUCCUGGCCCACAACUGACGCUGAGGCGCGAAAGCUAGGGGAGCAAACAGGAUUAGAAACCCGAGUAGUCC
rnacentral:rRNA from 1 species